GAUGAACGCUGGCGGCGUGCCUAAUACAUGCAAGUCGAGCGAACGGACGAGAAGCUUGCUUCUCUGAUGUUAGCGGCGGACGGGUGAGUAACACGUGGAUAACCUACCUAUAAGACUGGGAUAACUUCGGGAAACCGGAGCUAAUACCGGAUAAUAUUUUGAACCGCAUGGUUCAAAAGUGAAAGACGGUCUUGCUGUCACUUAUAGAUGGAUCCGCGCUGCAUUAGCUAGUUGGUAAGGUAACGGCUUACCAAGGCAACGAUGCAUAGCCGACCUGAGAGGGUGAUCAGCCACACUGGAACUGAGACACGGUCCAGACUCCUACGGGAAGCAGCAGUGGGGAAUCUUCCACAAUGGGCGAAAGCCUGACGGAGCAACGCCGCGUGAGUGAUGAAGGUCUUCGGAUCGUAAAACUCUGUUAUUAGGGAAGAACAUAUGUGUAAGUAACUGUGCACAUCUUGACGGUACCUAAUCAGAAAGCCACGGCUAACUACGUG
rnacentral:rRNA from 1 species